CGCGGCGUGCUGCACGGCCUCGGUGACCGGCUGCCGGCCGGCCUCGGCUGGGCCCCACUGCGCCCGGCGAUGUACGAGACGUUCGCCGUGG
rnacentral:tRNA from 1 species